GCGAUCAUACCAACACUAAUACACUGGAUCCCAUCAGAACUCCGCAGUUAAACGUGCUUGGACGAGAGUAAUACUAAGAUAAGUGACCUCUUGGAAAGUCCUCGCAUUACAUUCC